rnacentral:rRNA from 1 species
AUUGAACGCUGGCGGCAGGCCUAACACAUGCAAGUCGAGCGGAUGAAGGGAGCUUGCUCCUGGAUUCAGCGGCGGACGGGUGAGCAAUGCCUAGGAAUCUGCCUGGUAGUGGGGGAUAACGUCCGGAAACGGGCGCUAAUACCGCAUACGUCCUGAGGGAGAAAGUGGGGGAUCUUCGGACCUCACGCUAUCAGAUGAGCCUAGGUCGGAUUAGCUAGUUGGUGGGGUAAAGGCCUACCAAGGCGACGAUCCGUAACUGGUCUGAGAGGAUGAUCAGCCACACUGGAACUGAGACACGGUCCAGACUCCUACGGGAGGCAGCAGUGGGGAAUAUUGGACAAUGGGCGAAAGCCUGAUCCAGCCAUGCCGCGUGUGUGAAGAAGGUCUUCGGAUUGUAAAGCACUUUAAGUUGGGAGGAAGGGCAGUAAGUUAAUACCUUGCUGUUUUGACGUUACCAACAGAAUAAGCACCGGCUAACUUCGUG